rnacentral:rRNA from 1 species
AGAGCGAACGUUAGCGGCGGGCCUAACACAUGCAAGUCGAGCGAGAAAGAGGGGCAACCCUUGAGUACAGCGGCGGACGGGUGAGGAACACGUAGGUAAUCUGCCCUUCGAUGGAGGACAACGGUCCGAAAGGACCGCUAAUACUGCAUACGUUCUCCGGGCCCUCGGGCCUGGAGAGGAAAGCCUCGCAAGGGGCGUCGGAGGAGGAGCCUGCGUCGCAUCAGCUAGUUGGUGGGGUAAUGGCCUACCAAGGCGAAGACGCGUAGCUGGUCUGAGAGGAUGAUCAGCCACACUGGGACUGAGACACGGCCCAGACUCCUACGGGAGGCAGCAGUGGGGAAUAUUGGACAAUGGGCGAAAGCCUGAUCCAGCCACGCCGCGUGAGUGAUGAAGGCCGUUCGGUACGUAAAGCGUCUGGUGGGAGGAACGAACGGAACGGUCGAAGAGACCGGAAGUGGACGUACCUCCUUAGCAAGCCACCGGCUAACUUCGUGCCAGCAGCCGCGUAAUC